rnacentral:rRNA from 1 species
UACGUAGGGUGCAAGCGUUAAUCGGAAUUACUGGGCGUAAAGCGUGCGCAGGCGGUUGUGCAAGACCGACGUGAAAUCCCCGGGCUUAACCUGGGAAUGGCAUUGGUGACUGCACGGCUAGAGUGUGUCAGAGGGGGGUAGAAUUCCACGUGUAGCAGUGAAAUGCGUAGAGAUGUGGAGGAAUACCGAUGGCGAAGGCAGCCCCCUGGGAUAACACUGACGCUCAUGCACGAAAGCGUGGGGAGCAAACAGG